ACCAACAGGGAUUACCUCAGUAACGGCGAGUGAAGCGGUAACAGCUCAAAUUUGAAAGCUAGCUCCUUUAGGGUUCGCAUUGUAAUUUGUAGAAGAUGCUUCGGGUGUGGCCCCGGUCUAAGUUCCUUGGAACAGGACGUCAUAGAGGGUGAGAAUCCCGUAUGUGACUGGGUGCUUUCGCUCAUGUGAAGCUCUUUCGACGAGUCGAGUUGUUUGGGAAUGCAGCUCAAAAUGGGUGGUAAAUUUCAUCUAAAGCUAAAUAUUGGCCAGAGACCGAUAGCGCACAAGUAGAGUGAUCGAAAGAUGAAAAGCACUUUGGAAAGAGAGUUAAACAGUACGUGAAAUUGUUGAAAGGGAAGCGCUUGCAACCAGACUUGCGCGCUGAUGAUCAUCCGGGCUUCUGCCCGGUGCACUCGUCUGCGCUCAGGCCAGCAUCGGUUUCGGUGGUGGGAUAAAGGCCUUGGGAAUGUAGCUCCUCUCGGGGAGUGUUAUAGCCCUCGGUGCAAUGCCGCCUACCGGGACCGAGGACCGCGCUUCGGCUAGGAUGCUGGCGUAAUGGUUGUAAGCGACCCGUCUUGAAACACGGACCAAGGAGUCUAACAUCUAUGCGAGUGUUUGGGUGUCAAACCCAUACGCGUAAUGAAAGUGAACGGAGGUGAGAACCCUUAAGGGUGCAUCAUCGACCGAUCCUGAUGUCUUCGGAUGGAUUUGAGUAAGAGCAUAGCUGUUGGGACCCGAAAGAUGGUGAACUAUGCGUGAAUAGGGUGAAGCCAGAGGAAACUCUGGUGGAGGCUCGCAGCGGUUCUGACGUGCAAAUCGAUCGUCAAAUUUGCGUAUAGGGCGAAAGACUAAUCG
rnacentral:rRNA from 1 species